GAACGCUGGCGGCGUGCCUAAUACAUGCAAGUAGAACGCUGAAGAGAGGAGCUUGCUCUUCUUGGAUGAGUUGCGAACGGGUGAGUAACGCGUAGGUAACCUGCCUGGUAGCGGGGGAUAACUAUUGGAAACGAUAGCUAAUACCGCAUGAUAUUAAUUAUUGCAUGAUAAUUGAUUGAAAGAUGCAAUUGCAUCACUACCAGAUGGACCUGCGUUGUAUUAGCUAGUUGGUGAGGUAACGGCUCACCAAGGCGACGAUACAUAGCCGACCUGAGAGGGUGAUCGGCCACACUGGGACUGAGACACGGCCCAGACUCCUACGGGAGGCAGCAGUAGGGAAUCUUCGGCAAUGGGGGGAACCCUGACCGAGCAACGCCGCGUGAGUGAAGAAGGUUUUCGGAUCGUAAAGCUCUGUUGUAAGAGAAGAACGGGUGUGAGAGUGGAAAGUUCAC
rnacentral:rRNA from 1 species